CCCUUCAAGCCGUGUUUGCCCAGGAGGCGGAUGAUCUCCUCUGUUGAGAAAGAAAAGAAAUCACUGCGCCGUCCGGAACGUGUCCUCCAAGACUUUUGGCCUGGAUCUGGUGUUUCAGUGUGGGUACGUCUGGCUAACUCACAGAUAGAGAGUGGAAGGUCCGACCACCGACGCCAGGAAAGCGGACACCACUCCAGAGCCGCUGCCCACCUCCAGACACACGUGUGGGCUACACAACGGCCACAGUUAAAACAGUUGUAUUUGUGUACACACAAUAUUGAAUUAUUUUUCUUGAACAAUGUAAAUAAAAGUUUAUAUUAUC